rnacentral:rRNA from 1 species
UACAGAGGGCUCAAGCGUUGUUCGGAUUCAUUGGGCGUAAAGGGUGCGUAGGCGGCGAGGUAAGUCAGGUGUGAAAUUUCGGAGCUCAACUCCGAAACUGCAUUUGAUACUGCCUUGCUUGAGGACUGGAGAGGAGACUGGAAUUCACGGUGUAGCAGUGAAAUGCGUAGAUAUCGUGAGGAAGACCAGUGGCGAAGGCGGGUCUCUGGGCCGAUACUGACGCUGAGGAGCGAAAGCGUGGGGAGCGAACAGG